rnacentral:rRNA from 1 species
CCAUAAGUGAAACAAUCAUGUAAACUGUACCAUAACCAAUUGCCCUGCCCUGUUUUUUCGUUUUAUUCUGAACAAUUCGCAGAUAUAUAAACGGCACAAAUAGAGUUAAUAGAAAUAAUACAAUUAAACCGUUAUAUUUUGUCCCAAGAGCAAGUCCGCACCAGAUUGCAGAUAAAAUCAGAUACUUAACAUUGAAGUCUUUUUCAAUCCAUUUCAACAGGCAAAUUAUUGAAGCUGUUGAAAAAAAGAUUAAUCCCAGAUCAACAUAAACCGUAAUUGAAAGCUUUAUUAUUACAGGAAGAGAAAGAAAUAAAAGAACUCCGAAAAGUGCAUAACAAGUAUCGAUUCGUUUUUUCAGAUAACUAAAGAUUAACCAGGCAGUCAGCAGGGCAAAGGAAAAAUGAAUUAAUUUUGGAAUAAUAUCGUUUCCAAAAUAGAGUGGAAUAAAAUACAGAAGAUCAAGAUUCAUUGGAUAGUAGGAGCAUUUCAAGUUAGGUAUUUCAUAGAUGCUGCCAUAGUUCAAGUAUAGCUUGGGAACUGCAAGAUAAUGGGUCAGCGACUUACAUCUCAGUGGCAAGCUUAACCGACUAGGGGAGGCGUAGCGAAAGCGAGUCUUAAAUGGGCGCCGUUCUUCGGAACGAUCAGUCGCUGGGAGUAGACCCGAAACCGGGCGAUCUACCCAUGGCCAGGGUGAAGGUGCGGUAACACGCGCUGGAGGCCCGAACCCACGUAUGUUGAAAAAUGCGGGGAUGAGCUGUGGGUCGGAGUGAAAGGCUAAUCAAGCCCGGAGAUAGCUGGUUCUCCUCGAAAGCUAUUUAGGUAGCGCCUCGUGUCUCACUCUCGGGGGUAGAGCACUGUUUCGGCUAGGGGGCCAUCCCGGCUUACCAAACCGAUGCAAACUCCGAAUACCGAGAAGUGCAAUCACGGGAGACAGACGGCGGGUGCUAACGUCCGUCGUCAAAAGGGCAACAGCCCAGACCGCCAGCUAAGGUCCCUAAAUCAUGGCUCAGUGGGAAACGAUGUGGGAAGGCCCGGACAGCCAGGAGGUUGGCUUAGAAGCAGCCAUCCUUUAAAGAAAGCGUAAUAGCUCACUGGUCGAGUCGGCCUGCGCGGAAGAUUUAACGGGGCUUAAGCCAUGUACCGAAGCUGCGGAUGCCAAUUCAUUGGCAUGGUAGAGGAGCGUUCCGUAGGCCUGUGAAGGCAAGUUGUAAAGCAUGCUGGAGGUAUCGGAAGUGCGAAUGCUGACAUGAGUAACGAUAAAGGGGGUGAGAUGCCCCCUCGCCGAAAGCCCAAGGUUUCCUGCGCAACGCUAAUCGGCGCAGGGUUAGUCGGUUCCUAAGGCGAGGCCGAAAGGCGUAGUCGAUGGAAAGCAGGUUAACAUUCCUGCACCACUUAUAACUGCGAUGGGGGGACGGAGAAGGCUAGAUCAUCCGGCUGUUGGUUGCCGGUUCAAGCGAGUAGGCAGUGGGUUUAGGAAAAUCCGGACCCAUAAUGCUGAGACGUGAUGACGAGUCUCUACGGAGACGAAGUGAUUGAUGCCAUGCUUCCAAGAAAAGCCUCUAAGCUUCAGGUUAUGAGUGACCGUACUCCAAACCGACACAGGUAGGCGAGAUGAGUAUUCUCAGGCGCACGGGAGAACUCGCGUUAAGGAACUCGGCAAAAUACACACGUAACUUCGGGAGAAGUGUGGCCUCCUUUGGAUUUUAUUAUUUGUAGGAGGUUGCAGAGAAAAGGCCCAGGCGACUGUUUACCAAAAACACAGGUCUCUGCGAAGUCGUAAGACGACGUAUAGGGACUGACGCCUGCCCGGUGCUGGAAGGUUAAGGGGACGGGUUAUCAAGGGAGUAAUUCUUUGAGAAGCUCAGAACCGAAGCCCCAGUAAACGGCGGCCGUAACUAUAACGGUCCUAAGGUAGCGAAAUUCCUUGUCGGGUAAGUUCCGACCUGCACGAAUGGCG